rnacentral:rRNA from 1 species
UACGUAGGGACCAAGCGUUGUUCGGAUUUACUGGGCGUAAAGGGCGCGUAGGCGGCAAUUCAAGUCAUCUGUGAAAUCUCCGAGCUUAACUCGGAACGGUCAGAUGAUACUGUUUUGCUAGAGUACAGAAGGGGCAAUCGGAAUUCUUGGUGUAGCGGUGAAAUGCGUAGAUAUCAAGAGGAACACCUGAGGUGAAGACGGGUUGCUGGGCUGAUGACUGACGUGGAGGCACGAAAGCUGGGGAUCAAACGGG